AACGUCGCAAGACCAAAGAGGGGGACCUUCGGGCCUCUUGCCAUCGGAUGUGCCCAGAUGGGAUUAGCUAGUAGGUGGGGUAACGGCUCACCUAGGCGACGAUCCCUAUCUGGUCUGAGAGGAUGACCAGCCACACUGGAACUGAGACACGGUCCAGACUCCUACGGGAGGCAGCAGUGGGGAAUAUUGCACAAUGGGCGCUAGCC
rnacentral:rRNA from 1 species